AGUGGGGAAGCAUGGAAAGUGUGCUGAGGCACCGCUGCUCACCAUGUCUGUAUUCUCCUGAGGCUGAAUAGAAGACUGAUAGCCUGGAGGACUAAGAAGCCACAGGUGGAAUGAGCUAGAGUCCUGAGGACUGGGCAGAACAGAAAAUCUCUCCCUCCCCACUACCAUCACCUACUGACUCACUGUGACCUGAACAACAAAUACGC
rnacentral:lncRNA from 1 species